rnacentral:hammerhead_ribozyme from 1 species
ACCUAGCUGGCGAGUCCCAAAUAGAACGAAACAUGCGUCCUGGAU